rnacentral:misc_RNA from 1 species
UUUCUUAACAUUAAACCAGCAUCAAAACACAAUAGUGUUAUUUUUAAAUUCCGUUGAACAAAAAUUAUUUAAUUAUUUUAAAUUUUUUAUAAUUAAAAUAAUUUCGAAACAGCUUAACAAGGCCAAAACGUUGCUUGUCUUGAACGAUUUUGCUGAAUCUCCACGUCACCUCCUCUCUUGCGCAGUUGUAAAUCUCCUUCCUGUGGCCGUCCUAUAAAUUUCUCUCUCUCUCCUCUUUACCUCUGAACAGUAGACGCAAAAUAAAACAAUAAUCACUGUCUGCUCCUGGCCAAGCCUCCGUCCUUCCAGUUUCAACUUUCAACCCAUAUCAUUGCGUCAAAGGCCUAAAGGUUUGAAUUUUGAACCGUUUUUAACUACCGCCAUCCCCCAUUUUUUCCAUAAAAAGACACCGCAUCAUCUCUGUAACAGCUCUGCAUAUCCAUUUCUUUUUCUUUCCAGAAAAGCACCACCUACAACCACAAAUCGCUAUGCUUUCCUUUUUAUCCUUCAUUCCAAUUCCCUCUCUCUCCACAGUGCUACCCUACAUAGUAUCAUUUGUUAUUUUCCUUCUUUUUGUUGAGCAGAUCUCUUAUUUGAUAAAGAAACGCCAAGCUCCUGGUCCGGCUCUUGUUCUUCCAUUUCUUGGCAACGCAAUCUCCUUGGUUAGAGACCCCACCAAUUUCUGGGACGCUCAGUCUGCUCUCUCUUCUGGGUUUGGUUUCUCUGUUAACUAUAUAAUCGGGAGGUUCAUCGUCUUCAUUCGCGACACUGAGCUCUCCCAUCUUAUUUUCGCAAAUGUCAGACCCGAUGCAUUCAUGCUUGUUGGUCACCCUUUUGGUAAGAAGCUUUUUGGAGAACAUAAUUUGAUCUAUAUGUUCGGCGAGGAUCACAAGGAUCUCCGCCGUCGGAUUGCUCCCAAUUUUACUCCCAGGGCUCUCUCAACCUACUCCGAGCUCCAGCAGAUCAUCAUUCUCAAGCAUUUGAAGAAAUGGGAAACGAUGGCUAAGGAAAAUACCAACGAACCCAUUUCACUGCGUCUGUUGGCUCGCGACAUGAACCUUGAGACUUCCCAGACUGUAAUGGUUGGCCCCUACUUGAGCCCUGAAGCUCGAGAGAGGUUCAAGUUUGACUAUAAUUUAUUCAAUGUUGGCACCAUGAAGCUGCCUAUUGACCUCCCAGGUUUCGCCUUUAGAAACGCCAGGCUCGCGGUUGACCGCCUUGCCCAAACGCUAGCCGGAUGUACUACACAGAGCAAAACCAGAAUGGCCAACAACGAGGAGCCCACUUGCUUGGUGGAUUUCUGGAUGCAAGAAACGCUCAGGGAAAUCUCCGCAGCAAAAUAUGCCGGAGAACCUAUACCGCCUCAUACCAGCGACGCCGAAAUCGGUGGCUAUCUGUUCGAUUUCCUCUUUGCUGCUCAGGAUGCUUCCACGUCUUCGCUUUUAUGGGCAGUGGCUCUGCUCGACUCCCAUCCCGAGGUCUUAUCUAGAGUUCGAGAAGAAGUUUUGAGCAUCUGGUCGCCAGAGUCCGACAAUCUGAUCACUGCUGAGCAGGUCAGGGAAAUGAAGUAUACACAGGCAGUGGCGCGUGAGGUUAUUAGGUACAGAGCGCCGGCUACCUUGGUGCCCCACAUCGCCGCGAGGGACUUCCCAUUGACGGAGUCCUACACAAUUCCGAAGGGGACCAUAGUGUUCCCAUCGGUGUACGAGAGUUCAUUCCAAGGUUUCACUGAAGCAGACCGGUUCGAUCCGGACCGGUUCUCGAAGGAGCGGCAAGAAGAUCAACUUUUCAAGAGGAACUUUCUAGCAUUUGGGGCCGGGGCUCACCAGUGUGUGGGCCAGAGGUACGCCUUGAAUCAUCUGGUGCUAUUCAUCGCCAUGUUCUGUACAUUACUUGAUUUCAAGCGCCGUAGAAUCGACGGCUGCGAUGAAAUUAUGUACAAUCCAACGAUCAGUCCGAAGGACGGGUGCACGGUAUUCCUCUCUAGACGUUGCACACGAUUUCCCAACUUCUAAACAGAACCUGCGGUCAAGCAUGGGUCGUUUUAAAAAAAUGUUGGUUAAAUAAGUAGUGUGUACUUUCUUUAGUGUGUGAGAGUGUGUGUAUAGAUGUGAUGGACGGGUAUGAUUCUUUUGAUUAGUAGUGUGUGGGAACAUUGAUUGGUGGAAAACUGGGGUUGGUGUGAAGUGGGAAUCAAAAUAAAUGAGUGUGCAGUGGAUUUAUUUAUAUGAGAUUAUAUUCUUAAAAAAUAAAAAAAUUAUUUUUUAUUUUGGGAAUUUUUUUUGUAUGUGAGUGCUAUAGGGUAGGCUGUAAAGAAAAGUAUGUUGGUAGCCAAUGUGUCUCUACUUUCAUUGUCUGUACUGUACGCUAUAGAAGUUGACAGCACAUUGUUCUAAUGCUCUGGGACCUUAUUAUUACUGAUAUGCCCUUGGGUAAAAAGUCAAACAACAAUUUUCAAUUUGAGAAGGA